rnacentral:rRNA from 1 species
CUGUAAGCCUGUGAAGGUGGCCUGUGAGGGUUGCUGGAGGUAUCAGAAGUGCGAAUGCUGACAUAAGUAACGAUAAAGCGGGUGAAAAGCCCGCUCGCCGGAAGACCAAGGGUUCCUGUCCAACGUUAAUCGGGGCAGGGUGAGUCGACCCCUAAGGCGAGGCCGAAAGGCGUAGUCGAUGGGAAACGGGUUAAUAUUCCCGUACUUGGUGUUACUGCGAAGGGGGGACGGAGAAGGCUAUGUUGGCCGGGCGACGGUUGUCCCGGUUUAAGCGUGUAGGUGUGUGUUCCAGGUAAAUCCGGUUCACUUUAACACUGAGGCGUGACGACGAGGCACUACGGUGCUGAAGCAACAAAUGCCCUGCUUCCAGGAAAAGCCUCUAAGCAUCAGGUAACAUCAAAUCGUACCCCAAACCGACACAGGUGGUCAGGUAGAGAAUACCAAGGCGCUUGAGAGAACUCGGGUGAAGGAACUAGGCAAAAUGGUGCCGUAACUUCGGGAGAAGGCACGCUGACACGUAGGUGAAGUGAUUUACUCACGGAGCUGAAGUCAGUCGAAGAUACCAGCUGGCUGCAACUGUUUAUUAAAAACACAGCACUGUGCAAACACGAAAGUGGACGUAUACGGUGUGACGCCUGCCCGGUGCCGGAAGGUUAAUUGAUGGGGUCAGCGCAAGCGAAGCUCCUGAUCGAAGCCCCGGUAAACGGCGGCCGUAACUAUAACGGUCCUAAGGUAGCGAAAUUCCUUGUCGGGUAAGUUCCGACCUGCACGAAUGGCGUAAUGAUGGCCAGGCUGUCUCCACCCGAGACUCAGUGAAAUUGAACUCGCUGUGAAGAUGCAGUGUACCCGCGGCAAGACGGAAAGACCCCGUGAACCUUUACUAUAGCUUGACACUGAACAUUGAGCCUUGAUGUGUAGGAUAGGUGGGAGGCUUUGAAGCGUGGACGCCAGUCUGCGUGGAGCCGACCUUGAAAUACCACCCUUUAAUGUUUGAUGUUCUAACGUGGACCCGUGAUCCGGGUUGCGGACAGUGUCUGGUGGGUAGUUUGACUGGGGCGGUCUCCUCCUAAAGAGUAACGGAGGAGCACGAAGGUUGGCUAAUCCUGGUCGGACAUCAGGAGGUUAGUGCAAUGGCAUAAGCCAGCUUGACUGCGAGCGUGACGGCGCGAGCAGGUGCGAAAGCAGGUCAUAGUGAUCCGGUGGUUCUGAAUGGAAGGGCCAUCGCUCAACGGAUAAAAGGUACUCCGGGGAUAACAGGCUGAUACCGCCCAAGAGUUCAUAUCGACGGCGGUGUUUGGCACCUCGAUGUCGGCUCAUCACAUCCUGGGGCUGAAGUAGGUCCCAAGGGUAUGGCUGUUCGCCAUUUAAAGUGGUACGCGAGCUGGGUUUAGAACGUCGUGAGACAGUUCGGUCCCUAUCUGCCGUGGGCGCUGGAGAACUGAGGGGGGCUGCUCCUAGUACGAGAGGACCGGAGUGGACGCAUCACUGGUGUUCGGGUUGUCAUGCCAAUGGCACUGCCCGGUAGCUAAAUGCGGAAGAGAUAAGUGCUGAAAGCAUCUAAGCACGAAACUUGCCCCGAG